rnacentral:rRNA from 1 species
CUGGCGGCGUGCUUAACACAUGCAAGUCGAACGAAGCAACUUAUUACGAUCCCUUCGGGGUGACGAUUGUUGACUGAGUGGCGGACGGGUGAGUAACGCGUGGGUAACCUGCCUUGUACAGGGGGACAACAGUUGGAAACGACUGCUAAUACCGCAUAAGCGCACAGCUUCGCAUGAAGCAGUGUGAAAAGUUUUUCGGUACAAGAUGGACCCGCGUCUGAUUAGCUAGUUGGUGAGGUAACGGCCCACCAAGGCGACGAUCAGUAGCCGACCUGAGAGGGUGACCGGCCACAUUGGGACUGAGACACGGCCCAAACUCCUACGGGAGGCAGCAGUGGGGAAUAUUGCACAAUGGGCGAAAGCCUGAUGCAGCCGACGCCGCGUGAGCGAAGAAGUAUUUCGGUAUGUAAAGCUCUAUCAGCAGGGAAGAUAAUGACGGUACCUGACUAAGAAGCACCGGCUAAAUACGUGCCAGCCGCUGC